GCUCCAGACCUACCUGCCUAACUCCACCAAGAAGAUCCAGUUCCACCAGGAGCUGCUAGUUCUCUUCUGGAAGCUCUGUGACUUCAACAAGCCCACUUGACCCCUCCCCGCACCCCUAGAAAUUCCUCUUCUUCGUGCUGAAGAGCAGCGACGUCCUAGACAUCCUUGUCCCCAUCCUCUUCUUCCUCAACGAUGCCCGGGCCGAUCAGUGUAAGACCAGGGUGGGGUGGGAUGCUGGGGGCUUUCCUGGCGGCGAGGUGGAGGGCUGGCCAUCUGCCCUGCCUCCCAGGAGCUCAGGCCUGGCACUCUGACCUCCCAGGAGAGAGGCCCCCAAAAUGGUCCCUGCCUGGGCCCCUCCUUCCCCCUCCCACCCGAGUGACCCCUCCCACGCCACCUGCCGCAGCUCGGGUGGGCCUGAUGCACAUAGGCGUCUUCAUCUUGCUGCUUCUGAGCGGGGAGCGGAACUUCGGGGUGCGGCUGAACAAGCCCUACUCGAUCCGCGUGCCCAUGGACAUCCCAGUCUUCACCGGGACCCACGCCGACCUGCUCAUUGUGGUGUUCCACAAGAUCAU
rnacentral:sRNA from 1 species